UGGGGAAUAUUGGACAAUGGGCGGAAGCCUGAUCCAGCCAUGCCGCGUGUGUGAAGAAGGCCUUUUGGUUGUAAAGCACUUUAAGCGAGGAGGAGGCUACUUGGAUUAAUACUCUAGGAUAGUGGACGUUACUCGCAGAAUAAGCACCGGCUAACUCUGUGCCAGCAGCCGCGGGAAUACAGAGGGUGCGAGCGUUAAUCGGAUUUACUGGGCGUAAAGCGUGCGUAGGCGGCUUCUUAAGUCGGAUGUGAAAUCCCUGAGCUUAACUUAGGAAUUGCAUUCGAUACUGGGAAGCUAGAGUAUGGGAGAGGAUGGUAGAAUUCCAGGUGUAGCGGUGAAAUGCGUAGAGAUCUGGAGGAAUACCGAUGGCGAAGGCAGCCAUCUGGCCUAAUACUGACGCUGAGGUACGAAAGCAUGGGGAGCAAACAGG
rnacentral:rRNA from 1 species